AGUGAACGCUGGCGGUAGGCCUAACACAUGCAAGCCGAACGGCAGCACAGUAAGAGCUUGCUCUUACGGGUGGCGAGUGGCGGACGGGUGAGGAAUACAUCGGAAGCUACUUUUUCGUGGGGGGUAACGUAGGGAAACUUACGCUAAUACCGCAUACGACCUACGGGUGAAAGCAGGGGAUCUUCGGACCUUGCGCGAUUGAAUGAGCCGAUGUCGGAUUAGCUAGUUGGCGGGGUAAAGGCCCACCAAGGCGACGAUCCGUAGCUGGUCUGAGAGGAUGAUCAGCCACACUGGAACUGAGACACGGUCCAGACUCCUACGGGAGGCAGCAGUGGGGAAUAUUGGACAAUGGGCGCAAGCCUGAUCCAGCCAUACCGCGUGGGUGAAGAAGGCCUUCGGGUUGUAAAGCCCUUUUGUUGGGAAAGAAACGCAGCAGGUUAAUACCCCGCUGUUCUGACGGUACCCAAAGAAUAAGCACCGGCUAACUUCGUG
rnacentral:rRNA from 1 species